UUGCAGUGAGAGAGCAGACUGGGGCAUUGGGAAGCCCAAGUGUGGUGUGCCCAAUGUCUGAGGUUGGCAGGUUAAUUUUAGAGGCCUUAUUUUCUUGCUGUUGAACGACCCCUGGACCUCAUCUUUACAAGAGGCAGAAGCCUUGAUAUAUUUUAAACUUGUGGGAAGACCUCUUAGCAAGCUCUUGGCAUAAGGCUGUGUUUUUGGCGCUGACAGUACACUCUGACUGAAGCUGGAGGACAGACGGGAGGGGGUCUGGAGUGGAUGCUGGAGGACCGACCACAGGCCGUGCAGUAGUACAGUGCCUGCUCAUCACUGCGCAGAAGCUGGUGGGUAAGACUUGGUGGAGAGUGAACCUAAGGUACCAGGGGAGGACCUGCUAUCUCUACCUGCUAAAAAACAAAACAAGCUGUCACACAACUCUGAAGCUUAGCAUAAGGAGGAAUUCAGUGACUGUACUGAUCGUCAGCCAGUUUGAAAUUCUCGACACCAAAAGAACACACAGCAAUCUACUUCCACAGGGACCAGUCUGUGAAUGGUAACCACCACACAGAGGAUGGAAGUGUUUUCUUUUACAAAAGAUGUAAGAAGCUCCCUGAGGAGCGUGAGUUUUUUUACCCUUUGCCCUAAGGAGCACAGGCUGGGGAGGUAAUUCCUCAGUUCGUGGCUGCUCUCGGAAAUUCUCAGGUUUCCCCUGAGGCUGAAGUGUUUGUUCCAGCUUUGUUUAGGUUUGGAACCUCCAGGCUGCCUUUCCACAGGGUCUUUCCUGGGUUCGUAAUGGGGCAGACAUUUUGCAUUGCUUUGCAUCUGUCUCAGCAGUCCGUUUCUCAUUAUGACACCAUAAAGUGGUGUCUACUAUUCAUUCAGUGUUAAUGUGCUUGGCGCAGCUGGCAUAAAGGGGCACUAUACAGAUGUGUGAACUGGGGGCUUAAUGGGUUUACCAUUUCAGUGCCAGGAGACCUAGACUCCAGUCUUACUGCCACAGGCUCAUGAAGAAGCCAUGCUUGGAAAGUCAUUUAAUUUAUCUGAACCUCAGAAAUGGAGAGUUGCUGGAAAUGGUCAUGUUUUAGGAGGGAAAAGACAGUCAGGUUGCAGUGAGGAAACACGUCUAUGUAAGCAUUUUGGGUAAAUUGUCUAAAGAGACUGCAGAAGAAAGGGAUCUAAUUUCUAAAGUUCCAGUAACUGGUUGUGAUUUUGUUUCUCACUUAAAAUAUUUAUUUCCCCCCCAUAAUUUUGUAUUUUCUGUUUUGUGUUGUUUUCCCGAAAGGGAUCCCUAAUUGUACAAGCUCAACGUGCCAAAAAACCUAGAUCACAUUUCUGAAAUGAAUUUGCACACUAGCCAAGUGCUCUAUUCUUUGCCAGUAAAGCUGCUGUGCCUUUUCUAAAGCUGUUCCCGCUAUAUAUGAGGGUAUGGGUAUGGAUGGAGGCAGGAAAGAUAGAAGAGGGAGAACACAUACUCGACAGUGUGUGACAUGAGGAGCCGGUAUAAGGACCAUAUGUGAGAGCAGGGGGAGAGGCGGGGGCAGGAAAAAGCUUGGAUUUUACUCUAGCCACUGGAGCUAGGGAGUGAUUAAGAUACAACUAAAGUUUAAAAGAUCAUGCUGGCUACUGUGAAGAAUGAACACAGAUGGGACAUGAAUGAAGCCAGGGAGACAGACUGGACUAGUGCAGUGCCAGGGUAAGAGCAGGUGGUGGCUUGGGCUGGGGUGGUAGCAGCAGAGAUGGUGGGAAGAACACUCGGGUAGAGAUAACAGCAUUUUUGCUGAUCCUCCUUAGACUGGAUCAGGGAGGAGUGAAGAAAAGAAGGAAGAAUGCUCCUUUGGUUUGAGCAACUGGACAGACAGUGCGUCAAUUGUUGAGCUGAAGAAGGCUAGGGAAGGACAGUUUUAAAUGCUGAGGCUGAGGUACCUGUGAUACUCCAAGGGGAGGUAUCAAGCAGGUCUCUGACUAUAGAGCUCACAGGGGAGGCUAACACUGAAAACAAGGUGAGGAGUCAUAGCGUGUAGAUAGCUUUCAAGAGCGGGGCGUGAGAUCAUGUGAGAAGAAAGCAGACAGAAAAAGAGAGGAGACCCUCAGAACUGUGCAGCUCUCCAUACUUACUGAUUAAAAAAAGGAGGAUGAAUAGGAAAAACGGGCAGAAAAGAGCAGCUGAGAGGAGGAAAACCAGGGGAAGAUAGUGCUGUGGAAGCCAAGAAAGGAAGAUGCAUCAAGAAGGCAGGAAUGGCCAGCAAGGCCAAAUGUCACUAAGUACAGACGAGGCUGAGGAUGAAAAAGUGACCGCUAGGUUUGGCAACAUUUGAAUUUUAGGUACCUACCUAGAUAAGAGGAAUUCCAGUACACUGAGAGAACUGGAAAUCACAAUGAAGUGAUUUAAGGAGGAACUGGGAAAAAUAGAACAUAAAUAGACCCAUAAUCAUCAUAAAAAUUAAAUUAGUAGCUAAAAACUUAUUCUUUCCCUCUCAAAAAAUGAAAACCAUUAGGUUUUUCAGACUUUAAUGAUAGAUAAUUCCUGUUGUACAUAAACUGUUCCAGAGAAUGCAAAAGAAUAGAAAAGAAGGGGGAAACAGCCUCAAUUUAUUUUACAAGGCUGUUAUAAUCCUGUUACCAAAAUCAGACAAAGAUUAUUGUAUACAUAGGCUAGCCUCAUCUCUGUUUACAAAAGUAGAUAUUCUAAAAAUAUUAGCAAAUCAUGGAAUCUAAUUAAAAUGAUAUCAAAGAACUUAUUUACAAAACAAAGACUCACAGAUUUCAAAAGCAAACUUAUGGUUAUCAAAGGGGAAAUGUGGAAGGCAGGGAUAAAUUAGGGGCAUGGGAUUGACAUUCACACUACCAUAAAUAACACAUAACCAACAAGGACCUCCUGCGCUGCACAAGGAACUCUACUCAAUAUUCUGUAAUAAUCUAUACGGGGAAAGAAUCUGAAAAAGGAGGAGUACAUGUGUAACUGAAUUACUGUGCUGCACAGCUGAAACCAUCACAACAUUGUAAACGAACUAUUAGUCAGUGUUAGUCACUCGGUCGUGUCCGACUCUGCGACCCCGUGGACUGUAGCCAGCCAGGCUCCUCUGCCCAUGGAAUUCUCCAGGCAAGAAUACUGGAGCAGGCUGCCAAUCCCUUCUCCAGAUCUUCCCAACCCAGGGAUCAAACCUGGGUCUCCUGCAUUGCAGGCAGAUUCUUUACUACUGAGUCACCAAAGGAAGCCCAAAUCAACUAUACUUCAAUAAAACAAAAAAGUGCGUGUGUAUGUGUAAUGGAAUACUAUGCAGCCAUAAACGGAAUGAAAUAAUGCCAUCUGCAGUAACAUGGAUAGACCUAGAGAUUACCAUACUAAGUGAAGUAAGUCAGAGAAGACAAAUACCAUACAUGAUCACUUAUACAUGGAAUUUGAAACAUGACACAAACGAACUUAUCUAAAAAAUAGAAAUAGACUUACAGACAUAGAGAAUGAACUUGUGAUUGCCAAGGAGGACAGGGGCUGAGGGAUGGAUGGAUGGGGAGUUUGGGAUUAGCACAUACAAACUAUUACACCUGUUGCUUUUCAGUCGCUUAGUCGUGUCCAACUCUUUGUGACCCCAUGGACUACAUACAGCACACCAGGCUCCCCUAAUCCUUCAGUAUCUCCCAGUGUUGGCUCAACUCAUGUCCACUGUAUGUAUUAUAUGUAGAAUGGAUAAACAACAAGGUCCUACUGUAUAGCAAAGGGAACUAUACUUAGUAUUCUGUAACAAAUCAUAAGGGAAUGAAUAUGAAAAAGAACAUAUAUAUAUAUGUAUGACUGAAUCACUUUCCUGUAAAGCAGAAAUUGAUACAUGGUAAAUCAACUAUACUUCAAUAAAGUAAAUUAAAAAAAUUAGCAAAUGAAAUUCAAUACUAUACAAAAAAAUAAUACAUCACAAUCAAGUAGAGUAUAUCCCAGGUGGCAAAGAUGGUUUAACAACAGAAA